UACGUAGGGUGCAAGCGUUAUCCGGAAUUAUUGGGCGUAAAGAGCUCGUAGGCGGUUUGUCGCGUCUGCUGUGAAAACUGGGAGGCUCAACCUCCAGCUUGCAGUGGGGUACGGGCAAACUAGAGUGGCGGUAGGGGAAGAUUGGAAUUCCUGGUGUAGCGGUGGAAUGCGCAGAUAUCAGGAGGAACACCGAUGGCGAAGGCAGAUCUCUGGGCCGUAACUGACGCUGAGGAGCGAAAGCAUGGGGAGCGAACAGG
rnacentral:rRNA from 1 species